UCCUGAUGAAACCUUGAUGACGAGUCUGAUUCGGGUUACCGUUGACGACAACACCAUUUCUUAUAACCAUUCAUGCCUUAACUGAUA
rnacentral:snoRNA from 1 species